rnacentral:lncRNA from 1 species
AAACCAAUAUUUUUUUAUUAUUUCUAAAAUUACCCAUCUUUGAAAUUGAGUUUGAGUUUCAAUUGAUUACAUAUAAGGUAAUGGCAAAUCAAGAAGCACUAUAUAUUACAAUUAAGAUAAACCAUUCACAAAAAGCAGCUAAAUAACUAACUGCAGAGGCAUCGAAAAUUUCAAGAAACUAAUUAUCAUUUUGAAACUUUAAUUACACAUAUUGGAUUCGAUAAAUUAAUAUGUUGAUAUUCAAUAUUUAGAAUUUUUUAUUUAUAUAAAUAAAUCUUUAAAUUUUUUUUAAACAGAUAUAUACAAUUAAAAUCAAGAUAAAGAAAGUUCUAACAAUUCAAAUUAGACAAAACUAUAAAUUAUAAGGGAU